rnacentral:rRNA from 1 species
UACGUAGGGGGCAAGCGUUGUCCGGAUUUAUUGGGCGUAAAGAGCGUGUAGGCGGCCAGAUAGGUCCGUUGUGAAAACUCGAGGCUUAACCUCGAGAUGUCAUCGGAAACCAUCUGGCUAGAGUCCGGAAGAGGAGAGUGGAAUUCCUGGUGUAGCGGUGAAAUGCGCAGAUAUCAGGAAGAACACCAAUGGCGAAAGCAGCUCUCUGGGACGGUACUGACGCUGAGACGCGAAAGCGUGGGGAGCGAACAGG